rnacentral:tRNA from 1 species
GCCUGGGUGGCUCAGUCGGUUGAGCGUCCGACUUCGGCUCAGGUCACGAUCUCACGGUUCCUGAGUUCGAGCCCCACUUCAGGCU